GUGCCAGCCGCCGCGGUAACACGUAGGAUCCGAGCGUUAUCCGAAUUUACUGGGCGUAAAGCGCGUGCAGGCGGCUGGGUAAGUUGGGCGUGAAAUCUCCCGGCUCAACUGGGAGAGGUCGUCCAAAACUACCUAGCUAGAGGGCGGUAGAGGGAGGUGGAAUUCCCGGUGUAGUGGUGAAAUGCGUAGAUAUCGGGAGGAACACCAGUGGCGAAAGCGGCCUCCUGGACCGUACCUGACGCUCAGACGCGAAAGCUAGGGGAGCGAACGGGAUUAGAUACCCGCGUAGUCC
rnacentral:rRNA from 1 species